ensembl:lncRNA
AUGUCUCCGCAGAGCCGUCUCGUCAAGGCCGCAGCCAAACAAACGGUGGAGCUGGAGGCCGAGUUGGCGGAGUUUGGCUCCGACGUGGACCUGGCAACGCUGGACCGGCUCUGCUCCCUGUUGCAGUGUGCCACGCCGCCCUCCUCGCCCUCCUGGCCGCCUCCUCGGGCGCACUUGAUUCUCCCCCGGCUGCCAAGUGGCAGGCCAGCCUCCGCUUGUCCGCACCGAAAGCCGCCCUCCGUCUCCAGUUCCCCAUCCCGGACCUGCGGCCCUGGCCCGAGAGGCGGCCCGAGACCCAGAAGGCCGUGCGCAAGGAGAGCCUGCUCCUGGACCUCACCGCCGUGGAGUUCCACACGGAGCUCGGCCCGUCGGGCAUCACCAAGGUGGAGGUUUCCUGCAGCGACUUGCAUGGUUUGUACGAAGACGGCGAGAAGUUCUCGGUGCCCUGCUUCCGGGUUGGCAAAAGCCCCGAUUUGUCAGCCAAAACGACGGGAAAGAAAUACAUCAUUCCAAAGUAAUCUUGCUUCCCCAUGCUGUAUCUAUCUAUCUAUACAGUAGAGUCUCACUUAUCCAAGCCUCGCUUAUCCAAGCUUCUGGAUUAUCCAACGCAUUUUUGUAGUCAAUGUUUUCAAUACAUCAUGAUAUUUUGGUGCUAAAUUUGUAAAUACAGUAAUUAGUACAUAGAAUUACUGCAUAUUGAAAUACUUUUUCUGUCAAAUUUGUUGUAAAACAUGAUGUUUUGGUGCUUAAUUUGUAAAAUUAUAACCUAAUUUGAUGUUUAAUAGGCUUUUCCUUAACUCCUCCUCCUUAUUAUCCAACAUAUUCGCUUAUCCAAUGUUCUGCCAGCCUGUUUAUGUUGGAUAAGUGAGAGACUACUGUAUACACACACACACACACAUAUAUAUACAUACAUAUACAUACACAAACACACAUCUGUAAAAUGUCCAGGGUGGGAAGAAACAUACAAUAAUAAUAAUAAUAAUAAUAAUAAUAAUAAUAAUAAUAAUAAUAAUAAUAAUUAUUAUUAUUAUUAUUACGACAAAAUUAUGAUCUGCCAACUGCAAAAGGCCACCCUGCUGGGAUCUGCGCGCAUCAUCUGAAAAUACAUCACACAGUCCUAGACACUUGGAAGUGUUCGACUUGUGAUUUUGUGCUAUGAAAUCCAGCAUAUCUAUCUUGUUUGCUGUGUCAUAAAAUAAUAAUAAUAAUAAUAAUAAUAAUAAUAAUAAUAAUAAUUCUUAUUAUUAUUAUUUUAUUUUUGUACCCCGCCUCUAUCUCCCCAAAGGGGACUCAGGGCGGCUUACAUGGGGCCAAAGCCCGAGCAAAUACAAAACAAACAUAGAACAACAUCAAAUAACAAAGACCUACACGCAAAUGAAAAUUAAAAAUGGCAUAAAAUAAAAUCACAAACAUUAGUAAAACGCAAGCUAAUACACAGCCGUGAAGUCAUAAAAAUGAACUGGGCAAAAGUGCGCCAAGUGACUUUAAGUAAGUGUGAUUUAUUGUUAUAAUUGUAUUAUUUUACUUUGUUUAAUAAUGUGUAUUAUGUUGUUAUGUAAUGUUUGUGUUGCUUUUAUGACUGUAAACCGCCCUGAGUCCCAUCCGGGAGAUAGGGCGGUAUAUAAAUAAAGUUUUAUUAUUAUUAUUAUUUUGUAAACAUAUAUACCAUAAAUCUUUGUGGAAUAAAGUCUGGCUGCUUCCUGCCUGGGGGAAAUUCUUUAUUGGGAGGUGUUAGCUAGCCCUGAUUGUUUCCUGAUUUCCCCCAGGCAGGAGGCAGCUAGGCUCCGAAGCUGUAAGGCCAUUCGUAGCCUUACAGCUUGUACGAGCUAAUCAAGCUGACCAGUGGCAAUAUUCACACUUGCCUCAAGCAGACAAGAGUUCUUUCUUUCUCCCACCCUGGACAUUAUUCCACAGAUAUAUCAACCCCACUUGCCUAGUUUCCAACAGACCCCACAACCUCUGAGGAUGCCUGCCAUAGAUGUGGGAGAAAUUCCUCCAUGAAAGCCUUCGACAAUACAUUGUUAUAUUUAUU